UAAACGACUCUCGGCAACGGAUAUCUCGGCUCUCGCAUCGAUGAAGAACGUAGCAAAAUGCGAUACUUGGUGUGAAUUGCAGAAUCCCGUGAACCAUCGAGUCUUUGAACGCAAGUUGCGCCCGAAGCCUUUUGGCCGAGGGCACGUCUGCCUGGGCGUCACGC
rnacentral:rRNA from 1 species